CCCCUCUCAGAGUCGCCCCUGGAGAGUUUCCAGUAGUCUACCAGUCUCGGUUAUGGGAGGGAGAGUCAAGCAGAGGCCUACCCAUUCCAUCAUUUGCUUGGGCAGUGGCUAAGGAGUGGAAGGCAAUCUGCUACAAGU
rnacentral:snoRNA from 1 species